rnacentral:rRNA from 1 species
AGUGAACGCUGGCGGUAGGCCUAACACAUGCAAGUCGAACGGCAGCACAGUAAGAGCUUGCUCUUACGGGUGGCGAGUGGCGGACGGGUGAGGAAUACAUCGGAAUCUACUUUUUCGUGGGGGAUAACGUAGGGAAACUUACGCUAAUACCGCAUACGACCUACGGGUGAAAGCAGGGGAUCUUCGGACCUUGCGCGAUUGAAUGAGCCGAUGUCGGAUUAGCUAGUUGGCGGGGUAAAGGCCCACCAAGGCGACGAUCCGUAGCUGGUCUGAGAGGAUGAUCAGCCACACUGGAACUGAGACACGGUCCAGACUACUACGGGAGGCAGCAGUGGGGAAUAGUGGACAAUGGGCGCAAGCCUGAUCCAGCCAUACCGCGUGGGUGAAGAAGGCCUUCGGGUUGGAAAGCCCUUUUGUUGGGAGAGAAAAGCAGCAGGUUAAUACCCCGCUGUUCUGUCGGUACCCAAAGAAUAAGCACCGGCUAACUUCGUG